rnacentral:lncRNA from 1 species
UUUUAUGAGCAGUUGGCAAGUGUUUAUUUUACUUUUCCCGGACCUUUGAGUUCAGAUUGCCAAGCAGAUGCUCCUUUGCCUUUAGGGAGCUCUGAAACCCACACUGCAUUUUUUUUUUUUUUUGGUUCUUUUUUUCGGAGCUGUGGACCGAACCCAGGGCCUUGCGCUCCCACACUGCAUUUUUAAUGACUCCAAAUAACUUGAUUACAUCCACUCAAAUGAAAAGGACAAGUUUCAUACAGCGAAAAUUGAGUGACUUUUUUUUUUUUUUUUACGUCUUUAGGGUGUUUAAUCUCAUUUUAAUUCUGUGCAAACAGGAGAGGCAGCCUCUUUGAAAAGGUUCUGUCAGAGGAAAACACCACAUAUAGUGUAGCAUGCGUAUUUCUCAGCAUCCUUUUGGAUAAUAAUGAUGUGACUAUGAGAAAAAGAAGAAGAAGAAGGAAAAAACCUUCAAGAUAAGUGCUAAGAACAACCAAGAACAUACAAAACCAUCUCUGAGGAUGCAGGGCUUGGUGCCAUCGGGCCUGUCAGCCGGGAUGCUUUCCCUUUAUCUGUGUCUUAUAUGUAGCCCAGACUGGCCUCAAACUCACUACAUAACUGAGGCCGAACUUAACCAUCCUCCUGCCUCCACUCCCAAGUACUGAGACCAUAGGUGUGUACUACCAUGCCUGAGUGUUUCCAGUUGAUUGUUUUUAAAAUAUAAAACUUAUCGGUAGCUCAAUGGGUAAGGCCCUUUUGUGGGGUUUGCUUGAACUAAUCUUGAUGGUCUUGCCAGAAAAUACAGUGCAAGCUCCGUUUUACUCACAGAAGAGCAAGGGCCGCAUUAAAAGACUUGUCUGUGGUAGUUUCCAUAUUAAUCUAGGAUGCCCUCCCUCUCCUGUGGGACUUGAUAUCAACAGCCAUGGGUGUAUAUGUCUCCUAGGCAUAGGGUUUAGGAAACACACAGGCUGGCUACGUGACGGUUUUAACUUCAUAGAAAUGAGUUUCUGAUCGAUAUGUGUCAGAAGUGAUGGCAACUUCAUUUUAGGGACUCAGUCUCUUUUGCUCCUUUCCUUUCUGGCAGUUUCUAUAAAACCAGUCUUGCAAGCUCAGCUGGGGGCUAAAAUAUCUCAUUGAAAACGUCAAAACAUUUUAAGUAACUGUGAAAAUGGUUUUUAUUACUUGCCAAUCUGGGAAUAUGCCUUCUGCGUGUGCAUAUAUGUGUAUGUGUGUAUCUGUGUGUGUGCGUUUGUGUAUGUUAAAGUGCUGUAUUAGUGUGUGUAUGUGUGUGUAUGUGUAUGUUAAGUGCUGUAUUUAGUGUUUGUUAAUACUUUUUGAAAGAAAAGGACACUUAAAAAAUAUUAUCACCCCAAAAGUUCAAUCUGAAAUGUCUUACAUUAAGAAUUUCUUGAAUGUUGUGUAUAUAUUUUUAAAAGCACUUUGUGAAAUAGUUUAUACAUUUAUUUCCUAAUUUAUACCUGAUUUUGGUGUUAAUAUAUUUAAUGAUUAAUAAUAAUGUUUAUUUAAUGUUUUGUUCAUUUUUAUGUAAUUUUGUGGGGAAAGGUGAUGCCAGUGUUUUUCAUUGCCUGUAUUAUAGCUUUUCUUCUGUUACAUGAAUGUUUGGAAAGUCCUAGGCUGAAAUGAACCCUUUGUGCGGGCGUGGUUGACUGUGUUUUGUUUUCUGUGACCCCUCCUACUGAAGGCCAGAAAAGAUUUGGAAAUCACUGCUCAUUCUUCCUCCUGUUUCCCAACAUCCAUUCAACACUUGGUGAACUUGACCACUGAUGACUGGGGUUUUCAGAUGUGCAGACCACUACCCGAUGCUUAGCAGAAGCUGCGCACGUCAGGGGCCACGGUUGUACGGACACCUCAACAGACUUAGCAGAUAGCACAGUGGGAGAUGGGAAAAGUCCGCAGAGGUACUGGAUAGACACAGGCCUGGCCCAGGAAGGAGGUGUCUUCCUCUCCUGUCCUACCAGUUUUCAGACGUGGGCUUAAGUAAUGAGUGUCCAUUCAAACUUGUAAAAAGAGGACGACUUUCCAUUAAAAACACUUUUUUAGCCAUUA